UACGAAGGGUGCAAGCGUUGUUCGGAUUUAUUGGGCGUAAAGCGCGCGCAGGCGGAUCAGUAAGUCAGAUGUGAAAUCUCGGGGCCCAACCCCGAAACUGCGUCUGAAACUGCUAGUCUAGAAUAUCGGAGGGGGCAGGGGAAUUUCACGUGUAGGGGUAAAAUCCGUAGAGAUGUGAAGGAACACCAGUGGCGAAGGCGCCUGCCUGGACGAUUAUUGACGCUGAGGCGCGAAAGCGUGGGGAGCAAACCGG
rnacentral:rRNA from 1 species